rnacentral:rRNA from 1 species
GACGAACGCUGGCGGCGUGCCUAAUACAUGCAAGUAGAACGCACAGUUUAUACCGUAGCUUGCUACACCAUAGACUGUGAGUUGCGAACGGGUGAGUAACGCGUAGGUAACCUGCCUGGUAGCGGGGGGUAACUAUUGGAAACGAUAGCUAAUACCGCAUAAUAUUGAUUAUUGCAUGAUAAUUGAUUGAAAGAUGCUAUUGCAUCACUAUCAGAUGGACCUGCGUUGUAUUAGCUAGUAGGUGAGGUAACGGCUCACCUAGGCGACGAUACAUAGCCGACCUGAGAGGGUGAUCGGCCACACUGGGACUGAGACACGGCCCAGACUCCUACGGGAGGCAGCAGUAGGGAAUCUUCGGCAAUGGACGAAAGUCUGACCGAGCAACGCCGCGUGAGUGAAGAAGGUUUUCGGAUCGUAAAGCUCUGUUGUAAGAGAAGAACGGGUGUGAGAGUGGAAAGUUCACACUGUGACGGUAUCUUACCAGAAAGAGACGGCUAACUACGUG